rnacentral:rRNA from 1 species
UACGUAGGUGGCAAGCGUUGUCCGGAAUUAUUGGGCGUAAAGCGCGCGCAGGCGGUCCUUUUAAGUCUGAUGUGAAAAGCCCACGGCUCAACCGUGGAGGGUCAUUGGAAACUGGGGGGACUUGAGUGCAGGAGAGAAGAGUGGAAUUCCACGUGUAGCGGUGAAAUGCGUAGAGAUGUGGAGGAACACCAGUGGCGAAGGCGACUCUUUGGCCUGUAACUGACGCUGAGGCGCGAAAAGCGUGGGGGAGCAAACAGG